rnacentral:rRNA from 1 species
CACGGGGGGAACGCGAAGAACCUUACCAGCCCUUGACAUGUGACUCGCCGGGACCAGAGACGGUCCCUUCGGUUCGGCCGGAGUCAACACAGGUGCUGCAUGGCUGUCGUCAGCUCGUGUCGUGAGAUGUUGGGUUAAGUCCCGCAACGAGCGCAACCCUCGUCUCCAGUUGCCAUCAGGUUAUGCUGGGCACUUUGGAGAAACUGCCGGUGACAAGCCGGAGGAAGGUGGGGAUGACGUCAAGUCCUCAUGGCCCUUACGACCUGGGCUACACACGUGCUACAAUGGGCGGUACAAAGGGUUGCCAAACCGCGAGGUGGAGCUAAUCCCGUAAAACCGUUCGUAGUCCGGAUUGGAGUCUGCAACUCGACUCCAUGAAGUCGGAAUCGCUAGUAAUCGUAAAUCAGAACGUUACGGUGAAUACGUUCCCGGGUCUUGUACACACGC